rnacentral:rRNA from 1 species
CUACGGGUCGCUGCAGUGAGGAAUAUUGCACAAUGGGGGGAACCCUGAUGCAGCAACGCCGCGUGGAGGAUGACGCAUUUCGGUGUGUAAACUCCUUUUAUAUGUCAAGAAAAUGACGGUAGCAUAUGAAUAAGCACCGGCUAACUCCGUGCCAGCAGCCGCGGUAAUACGGAGGGUGCAAGCGUUACUCGGAAUCACUGGGCGUAAAGGACGCGUAGGCGGGCUUGUAAGUCAGGUGUGAAAUCCUACAGCUUAACUGUAGAACUGCACUUGAAACUACGAGCCUAGAGUAUGGGAGGGGGAGAUGGAAUUAGUGGUGUAGGGAUAAAAUCCGUAGAUAUCACUAGGAAUACCUAAAGCGAAGGCGAUCUCCUGGAACAUAACUGACGCUAAGGCGUGAAAGCGUGGGGAGCAAACAGGAUUAGAUACCCGUGUAGUC